GGUGCAUGGUUUUCCAGAUACAUAGUUCAGGUGUAUAUUGAAGAACGUGGACUAGGCCUGUGAGCUGGGAUCAGGGUGGGAUCAGGAUAGUGGUCUGCGACAACUCUACUGAAGCUCAUGGUUUGUCAAGUUCACACUCCGAAAUAUGAAAGUUCAAGCUGCAAAGUUUCACUGUGGGUUUACGUCACCUUCAUGUCCAGCACUCACUCUCAAGAUCCUGUCUGGAACGUGCUCUGUCUACACCUGCAGUUCGGGGUAUUUUCUCCUGUACUUGUAUUGUUGUGGAUAUAUUCAACUUCAUUGACAAAUUAAAAUGGCAUACAUGGGAAA